UACGUAGGGGGCAAGCGUUGUCCGGAUUUAUUGGGCGUAAAGAGCGUGUAGGCGGUUAGGUAGGUCCGUUGUGAAAACUCGAGGCUCAACCUCGAGACGCCGAUGGAAACCAUCUAACUAGAGUCCGGAAGAGGAGAGUGGAAUUCCUGGUGUAGCGGUGAAAUGCGUAGAUAUCAGCAGGAACACCCGUGGCGAAGGCGGCUUCCUGGAUCGUAGCUGACGCUGAGGCGCGAAAGCGUGGGGAGCGAACGGG
rnacentral:rRNA from 1 species